GACAGGUGCUGCAUGGCUGUCGUCAGCUCGUGUUGUGAAAUGUUGGGUUAAGUCCCGCAACGAGCGCAACCCUUAUCCUUGUUUGCCAGCGAGUAAUGUCGGGAACUCCAGGGAGACUGCCGGUGAUAAACCGGAGGAAGGUGGGGACGACGUCAAGUCAUCAUGGCCCUUACGAGUAGGGCUACACACGUGCUACAAUGGCGCAUAC
rnacentral:rRNA from 1 species